GAUAAUUUUAGAAGUUAAUAUAGUUUGACUCAAAGUUUUAACCGUUGAAUCCAUAAAGUAAAGUGCUAAGUGAUAACUAUUAAUAUCUAAGCCUUCAACUUUUUGUGCUCUAGUUGAUGAUAAAUAUCAUUUUCAUUAUUAAUUGGUUUCCAAUUUGAAGAAUAAAAUAUGAUGGAUGAUUAGUGUAAUGUUACAUGAGGGAUGACUAUUUUUUUUGUGUGUGUAGUGUUACAUAUAUGUCUAGAAAAAUGGGAAUGCUUGAAAUUAGUUUGAAACAUAUUUUAAUUUUUUACAUGAGAUAGAAACUAGUAAUCCUACUAUUAUAAUGAGUUUCAAUAUCCAAUUAUUUCUAUCUUCGGUGACACUUAUUUUCGUUCUCGAUUGUGUAUAACCAUGACUAGUGAAAA
rnacentral:lncRNA from 1 species